rnacentral:misc_RNA from 1 species
CAACCCUCAGGGCCCGUCCGCGGGACCUGGUGUUGGGGAUCGGCCGCCCCCCGCGGCGGCCGGCCCCGAAAUACAGUGGCGGCUCCACCGCGCGAACUCUGCGUAGUACAACACGUCGCAGCUGGGCUCGCGGUGGCGGCCUCGCCGUAAAACCCCCCAACUUCUCCAU